CCCUUCUCCUCUAUUUCUUUGCUGUGACCAGCAAUUUUUAGUGUACUUUGGCAACUUUUUCCGAGCAACGAUCCAGCGCCCGUAAGAGAGAAAAGUGGCGACUGUACUUACAUCCUGAUUUUUGAGAGCUGCUAAUUCAGUGCAACUGUUGCUAAGGUAAAUCAUUUUAAUCAACGCACGCAAAUAUUUCUUCAGGGAAGGGGCCGACAAAAAAUGACCUAGACAAAAGUUGUUGGGUUUUGAGGGAGACAUAAGAUGGUGUCAUUAAUUUGACUUUGAAUAGUUGAAGGUCACCUAAAGAAGAGCAUCAUCACACAUGGUAAUUUACUUGGCUGUCUUCAAUACAGGAUGAUUGGAUCCAACCAGCUUCCUCAGGUG